rnacentral:rRNA from 1 species
AGGUGUGCUAAUACGGGAUACGCUGAUUUAUCAGGAAAGGUGGCCUCUUCAUGAAAGCUACUGUACCAGGAGGAGCUUGCGUACCAUUAGCUAGUUGGUAGGGUAAUGGCCUACCAAGGCGACGAUGGUUAGCGGGUCUGAGAGGAUGAUCCGCCACACUGGAACUGAAACACGGACCAGACUCCUACGGGAGGCAGCAGUGAGGAAUAUUGCGCAAUGGGGGAAACCCUGACGCAGCGACGCCGCGUGGAUGAUGAAGGCCUUCGGGUCGUAAAAUCCUGUCAGAUGGAAAGAAAUGUAGUAUGCCUAAUACGUGUACUAUUUGACGGUACCAUCAAAGGAAGCACCGGCUAACUCCGUGCCAGCAGCCGCGGUAAUACGGAGGGUGCAAGCGUUGUUCGGAAUUACUGGGCGUAAAGCGCGCGUAGGCGGUUUGCUAAGUCAGAUGUGAAAGUCCACGGCUCAACCGUGGAAGUGCAUUUGAAACUGGCAGACUUGAGUACUGGAGGGGGUGGUGGAAUUCCCGGUGUAGAGGUGAAAUUCGUAGAUAUCGGGAGGAAUACCGGUG